rnacentral:rRNA from 1 species
UGGGGAAUAUUGGACAAUGGGCGAAAGCCUGAUCCAGCCAUGCCGCGUGUGUGAAGAAGGUCUUCGGAUUGUAAAGCACUUUAAGUUGGGAGGAAGGGCAUUAACCUAAUACGUUAGUGUUUUGACGUUACCGACAGAAUAAGCACCGGCUAACUCUGUGCCAGCAGCCGCGGUAAUACAGAGGGAGCAAGCGUUAAUCGGAAUUACUGGGCGUAAAGCGCGCGUAGGUGGUUUGUUAAGUUAGAUGUGAAAUCCCCGGGCUCAACCUGGGAACUGCAUUCAAAACUGACUGACUAGAGUAUGGUAGAGGGUGGUGGAAUUUCCUGUGUAGCGGUGAAAUGCGUAGAUAUAGGAAGGAACACCAGUGGCGAAGGCGACCACCUGGACUAAUACUGACACUGAGGUGCGAAAGCGUGGGGAGCAAACA